ACCGGAUAGCGCGAGGGAUGCUGGGAUACUGGAGGUCCGCCCAGCGCUUCCUGCGGGUUUAGGAGCCCUUUAGAGUUAGCAAGGUGGAUUACUUUGUGCGUACACCGUCUUACCCGGACUCUCUGACUUGACAAACUGAGAACAGGGAAGGAACAGCUAAUUGGCCGGCCAUGAAGAACUGAGGAAGCAGACCUACACCUCAAGUCUCUAUGAUGUCUUUUCAAGACAUUUAAGAAGCAUCAGCUAUUUUUCAAGCAUUGGAGGUACAGAGAUGAGCAAGUGCUGGCCCUCAAGAAGAAUAUAAUAUCAGGAAAGAGGUGAAAGAAUGCAGAGAGAUAAAUGUGCCUGGAGUCUUAAGAAAACUGAUGAUUGAUCUAAUAAAUGGAUGAAAGAAUUUAUUCACAUAAAAAUCCUGCCUUUGAAACUAAGGCUACAAACACAUCUCCCUUUCGAACACACCCCUCUGAAAAGAGACCCGGAGAGCCUGCAGAGGAGGAUCAGACAAGCUGUCCUGGUUGAAUGCUAUUGUCAUCAGAGUGAAGGAGGCUAGUUUCAAUGGCUGCAGCGCCAUGUUCAACAUCUGUUUGCUUGGGAGCAAAAUGAUUAUCUUGGGAGAGCAGCAAAGUUCAACUGCAAGUUUUGUAUGAUAUUUACAAAAUAUCCCUUGCUCUAUGAAGAUACUGACUGAGAUGACAGUGGAGCUACAGGAUAAGUCCUUGAGAGAAGCAGCUUCAGAGAACCAGGUAUACCAACAGAUUGCCCACUGCCCUGCAAUUCAGAAUUGGCCCAUGUCCACCUUCUCAGGACGGUUAUCUUGGAGAAGGGAUUUGAUGUUGGUGUUGAAGAAAGCUCAUCAACGGCUUGGCAAGAAAUAAGAGAUGAAGAGUUCUGGAAGCCUGUAUAGAAAAGCUCAUAGAAGAGAACAGACAAGAGAAAUAAUUGUGUUCGGCGCCUCUGCCCACCCCCCAAGCCAUGCUGAGAGAAGCAGAAAUGAGAACCGGCACAUGGCAGAAAGUUUUCCAGUAAGAUUGUUCCUGGACUUCAAGCUGCUGUGCCUCCCUUGAGGACUCUCAAGAUUUCCAAAAGCUUCAAGUUUUUUCACAUGGCUGCUUCUUCCUCACAUCCUCGACUCCUGCUCUGUGACUAAUACAGACACCAGUGUAUCUGCAAUGAACUUAUACAAUUCCCCUGCCCUGGAUGAACCACACCCACGGGGAGUUCAGGAAGCAGAGCAGGGGCAGUGACUAACACCAAGAAACCUUACAUUCAAGUCAGCAGAUGAAGGCAACAGAUCAAGUCUGUGACUCUAAAAACAGGCCCAAAGGAUCUUCUGGGCUCCCUCAACAGGGGUGGGCACCAUCACCAAUUGAAGAGUUAUGCUAUGGGUCUGAUUCCCAGGACCAAGUGGAGUGGAGGGGAAGGUCACAGAACUGGAAGCACACCCAGUCCAGUUCUGGACACCUGCCUGUUUGCCCACGAAUGACCACUGUGGAAUCUGAGGCAAGAGGGCAGCCCCCAAACCUCAGCCCGGAGUCUCUGACUCUGAGCAUGGCCCGGCCCUGCAACCACAGCAUCUCCGUUCCAGUCUUGGUCACCAUCAGGAAGGCAUCUGUUACCUCCUGCGUUCUGUGGUCGCCAGUAUAACCCAACGGCCAUAAAUUUCAAACUCGGCUACGUGUUGCCCUACUUCUAACUCUAACUGCCUGCAACCUGCCCUUUGAGAAAACAGCUUUACUCCUGAGUGCUCUCUGCUAAAUGAGUGCCACCUUGUCUCUUUUCUCCACAUCAUCAUUAUAAUUAAUAAGCAACAAUAUCAUCCCUGGUGGUUAUGUUCUUAUUAGGUGUUAACCGGCCUUAACAUCAUUAUCUCAUUAGGCCUUUCCACCUAAAUUACUUUAUCAGCUUCCCUCUGAAGGGGGUCUGGUACUGUCUCGCUGAAAGGAAUCCCCUGCACAAACACGAGAAAGUGAAAGGAUAAUCACAAGCAUUUAGACCUGCUCCAGAUAUUAAUCUUCUUAAAAAAUUUAUGCUAUUUCUACUACUAGGAAUACUUUACAUUGCUGUAAACCCUCUCAUCCAGUGUGUUUAAAGCAAUACCCAGGAGCUUUUUAGCUUAAUCUCACUCAUUUGAUGAGGAAAAAAAAAUAUUGUAGAAGAAUAUAUUCUAAAAUAUUUACAACAGUUAAAACUCUCCCCUCCCCCAUCACUGCCCACAUUUCUAUUUGGAUAAAUUCUCUCCAGUUUUUUUUCAUUAAGA